AUUGAACGCUGGCGGCAUGCUUUACACAUGCAAGUCGAACGAGUGGCGGACGGGUGAGUAACGCCUCGGAACGUAGCUUGUGAUGGGGGAUAACUACGGGAAACUGUAGCUAAUACCGCAUACUAUACGAGCGGCCGAGGUGUGAUUAGGUAGUUGGUGGGGUAAAGGCCCACCAAGCCGACGAUCAGUAGCUGGUCUGAGAGGAUGACCCGCCACACUGGGACUGAGACACGGCCCAGACUCCUACGGGAGGCAGCAGUGGGGAAUUUUGGGCAAUGGGCGCAAGCCUGAUCCAGCCAUGCCGCGUGUAUGAAGAAGGCCUUCGGGUUGUAAAGGACUUUUGUCAGGGAAGCGGUACCUGAAGAAUAAGCACCGGCUAACUCCGUGCCAGCAGCCGCGGUAAUUC
rnacentral:rRNA from 1 species